rnacentral:rRNA from 1 species
AACGAACGCUGGCGGCAGGCCUAACACAUGCAAGUCGAGCGAACCCUUCGGGGUUAGCGGCGGACGGGUUAGUAACGCGUGGGAAUAUACCCUUUGGUACGGAAUAGCCUCGGGAAACUGAGAGUAAUACCGUAUGUGCCCUUCGGGGGAAAGGAUUUAUCGCCAAAGGAUUAGCCCGCGUUGGAUUAGAUAGUUGGUGGGGUAAUGGCCUACCAAGUCUACGAUCCAUAGCUGGUUUGAGAGGAUGAUCAGCAACACUGGGACUGAGACACGGCCCAGACUCCUACGGGAGGCAGCAGUGGGGAAUCUUAGACAAUGGGCGCAAGCCUGAUCUAGCCAUGCCGCGUGGACGAUGAAGGCCUUAGGGUUGUAAAGUCCUUUCAGAUGGAAGAUAAUGACGGUACCAUCAGAAGAAGCCCCGGCUAACUACCGUGCCAGCAGCCGCGGU